CAUGGACACCGGGGCCUCCUCUCAUAUGGCGUCGCACCCUGGACCUGCAGACCAAGACGGUGCUGCUCCGAUGUAAUAGCCCGGACGACCUGUACCCGCUCCGGGCGUCGCCUGCUGCCCCCGCUCCGGUUGCGCUCUCCAUCGGUCUCGACCUGUGGCAUGCACGCCUUGGGCACCCCGGCGUUUCAGCUAUGCAGCAGCUUCUUCGUAGCUUCCCUUUCAGUUGUAAUAAAACAGAGAAACACUCAUGUUCCGCCUGUCGGCUUGGCAAACACACGCGCCUCCCGUUCUCUGAAUCUUUUUCAGUUUCUAGUUUCCCUUUUGAACUACUCCAUUGUGACGUCUGGACAUCUCCAAUAAAGAGCAAUUCUGGUUUUGAGUA